AUUUAUAUAGUUUAAUAAAACAUUACAUUUUCAUUGUAAAAUCAGAAUUUUUCUUAUAAAUA
rnacentral:tRNA from 1 species